GCGGGGGUCCCCAAGUGGACAAAGGGGCCAGACACUGGCUAGACUUAAGCUCUGGUGCUGUAGAGCUUCGAGGGUUCGAAUCCCUCCCCCCGCA
rnacentral:tRNA from 2 species